AAUCAACGCUGGCGGCGUGCCUAACACAUGCAAGUCGCGCGCGAAAGGGGGGGCAACUCCCAAGUAGAGCGGCGAACGGGUGAGUAACACGUGGGUAAUCUACCUUCGAGUGGGGGAACAACACCGGGAAACUGGUGCUAAUUCCGCAUAACAUCGUCGGGGCUUCGGUUCUGACGCUCAAAGCUGGGGAUCGCAAGACCUAGCGCUUGAAGAUGAGCCCGCGUCCGAUUAGCUAGUUGGCGGGGUAAUGGCCCACCAAGGCUUCGAUCGGUAGCCGGCCUGAGAGGGGCGGGACGGCCUCACUGGAACUGAGACACGGUCCAGACUCCUAC
rnacentral:rRNA from 1 species